GAUGAACCCGAGGGCCGUGGAGCACCCCACCUGCCCCCGAGACCCAGCCCCACGCUGCCCCCUUUGUCCUGUCGGCAGCACCCACUCCUCUCCUAGUCCCGACGCGGCGGAGCUGUGGACAGGAGGGAUAGUGGCCUGGGAGCCAGCUCUGGAGGGUGGUCUGGGGCCUGUGGACAGUGAACUGUGGCCCACUGUUGGGGUGGCUUCUCUCCUUCCUCCUCCCAUAGCCCCUCUGCCAGAGAUGAAGGUCAGGGACAGUUCCCUGGAGCCGGGGACUCCCUCCUUCCCAACCCCAGGACCAGGCUCAUGGGACCUGCAGACUGUGGCAGUGUGGGGGACCUUCCUCCCCACAACCCUGACUGGCCUCGGGCACAUGCCUGAGCCUGCCCUGAACCCAGGACCCAAGGGUCAGCCUGAGUCCCUCAGCCCUGAGGUGCCCCUGAGCUCUAGGCUGCUGUCCACACCAGCUUGGGACAGCCCCGCCAACAGCCACAGAGCCCCUGAGACCCAGCCACUGCCUCCCAGCCUGGCUGAAGCGGGGCCCCCCGCGGACCCGUUGGUUGUCAGGAACGCCAGCUGGCAAGCGGGAAACUGGAGCGAGUGCUCUACCACCUGCGGCCUGGGUGUGGUCUGGAGGCCGGUGCGCUGUAGCUCUGGCCGGGAUGAGGACUGUACCCCCGCUGGCCGGCCCCAGCCUGCCCGCCACUGCCACCUGCAGCCCUGUGCCACCUGGCACUCAGGCAACUGGAGUAAGGGUCACACCCGUGGGCCUGCACGUGGGUGUCUUGGUCCCCAGUGCUCGCGCAGCUGCGGUGGAGGUUCCUCAGUGCAGGACGUGCAGUGUGUGGAUACACGGGACCUCUGGACACUGCAGCCCUUCCAUUGUCAGCCCGGGCCUGCCAAACCGC
rnacentral:lncRNA from 1 species